rnacentral:rRNA from 1 species
CACGUAGGGGGCGAGCGUUGUCCGGAUUUAUUGGGCGUAAAGAGCUCGUAGGCGGCUCGGUAAGUCAGGUGUGAAACCUCCAGGCUCAACCUGGAGACGCCACCUGAUACUGCCGUGGCUAGAGUCCGGUAGAGGAGCGUAGAAUUCCUGGUGUAGCGGUGAAAUGCGCAGAUAUCAGGAGGAAUACCAGCGGCGAAGGCGGCGCUCUGGGCCGGUACUGACGCUGAGGAGCGAAAGCGUGGGGAGCAAACGGG